UUUAACAGUCUCGACAAUCCGAUUUAAACCUUCGCCCUAUAGGGAGAGCGGAUAAUAAAGUUAUUAAAAUAUUAAACUACCAACCAAGUGAUUUGUUAACUUACAUACUUACAAGAAAAGCACUUAAACAACCAUUUCUAUAUUAUUACUUAAUUAUGGGGGCGAUAUGUAGACAGUAUGAUGCGCGUCACAAGAAGUAUUUUUGAAAUCGAUCAAAAUUUACGUUACUAAUAAAAUAAGUGUAAAAAUAUCUAAACAUUUUUUAAAAAAUUUGGGCGUGGUAGUUGUGGGCGGUUUGGGGGCGUUAGAGCGGGCGUGGCCAGAUGGGUCAACAAACUUGCGCUAUGAUUGAACCUGAUUGCGCCUGAACCUUAGUAAAAGGGUAUACUAGAUUCGUUGAAAAGUAUAUAACAAGCAAAGAGAAGCGUUUCCGACCAUAUAAAGUAUACAUAUAUGUACAUAGUUCCGCGGGGAGAUACAUACAUAUGUCGUUUUUAGUUUAACGGAUCGUUUUGAUCGUUUUGAAAGCGACAUAACUCCGUCAAUAUGAAAAGGUACGAAGAUAUGUCGCCCAUAGUUCGCCGAAGAUAUGUCUAUUCAAAAACAAAUAUACAAAUAAUAUACAUACAUAAUAUAAUAUACAAUUUACAAAUAUACAAACAAAUGUACAAAUAUAUUUAUGUGAAUACGUACCCUUCAGUACCAAAAUUCCUCGCCCGUAUUUUUCCUCGCGAGAGUUCGAAAAAACAAAAACAAAUCUCACAGGCCUCUUCUAGCUAAGUUUCAAACACCGAAGUCAUGCCGAAUUUUGUCGUGGCUUUGCUGCUGCCUAUGUUCGAAGUUCAUAUUUGUUGUUUUUUUUUCGAAGUAGUUCAGAACAGUGACCGAAAAUGAGAGUGAGAGAUGGGAGGAGACAAAACCAGAGGAAAGAAAAAAACGCUAUGUAUAGAGUCUAUACAAUAGACUUCUGAAUACCGUUCUAAUAAUUGAAAUUAAACUGUCGCUAUAGGCAACGCCAAUGCGUCCGUGCUUAAUUAUUUGCCUGUGUAAUUAAAAUUACACGGGAUCAUUACGGUCGAAUAUACCCUGGCAAGCACCUGUCAGAAUUUUCGGUUUCGUUUUCCGUCACCCUUUUUCUUUUGCAUUGCAUUCAAUUGUGAAACGUGAAAAGUGGUGUUUGGAAAAUUUUCAACGUGAAAUACAUAUAUAAAACCGAUAGCAUAAGCACAUUAGAAGGCCAGACCAGCAGCCACCGGAGAAGGCCUUGCCCCACUGGCCGCACUUGCAUGUGUUAAAAAGAACGCAAACAAAAGUAGGAAAAAAUUAACG